rnacentral:rRNA from 1 species
AACGAACGCUGGCGGCAUGCCUAACACAUGCAAGUCGAACGAGACCUUCGGGUCUAGUGGCGCACGGGUGCGUAACGCGUGGGAACCUGCCCUUAGGUUCGGAAUAACUCCCCGAGAGGGGUGCUAAUACCGGAUAAUGUCUUCGGACCAAAGAUUUAUCGCCUUUGGAUGGGCCCGCGUUGGAUUAGCUAGUUGGUAGGGUAAAAGCCUACCAAGGCGACGAUCCAUAGCUAGUCUGAGAGGAUGAUCAGCCACACUGGGACUGAGACACGGCCCAGACUCCUACGGGAGGCAGCAGUGGGGAAUAUGGGACAAUGGGCGAAAGCCUGAUCCAGCAAGGCCGCGGGAGUGAUGAAGGCCUUAGGGUUGUAAAGCUCUUUUACCCGGGAUGAUAAUGACAGUACCGGUAGAAUAAGCUCCGGCUAACUCCGG